rnacentral:rRNA from 1 species
AGGUGGCUUCCACCUCCGAGUGGUAUGGUAAAGGUGAAUGUGGACGGAGCAGUGGCCAGGUCUCGGCGUGGAGGGGCUUCUGCAGCAAUAUGUCGAGAUCAGGACAGCCAAUAUUUGGGUUCAUCGGCGGUUGUUUUUCAUGGAAUCAAUGAUCCGAUGAUGCUCGAGACUUAUGCUUGCAAAAAAGCGCUGGCUUUGGCAGAAGACCUUGCGACAAUGAACAUAUGUGUGGCAUCGGAUUGCCAAGAAGUGGUCAAUGAUAUUAACAGAGGGACAGGAGGCCCAACGCUGCUCUUAUACAUGAAUAAUGCUUCGGUGUAA